rnacentral:rRNA from 1 species
UCGUGGAGUGAUCUGUCUGCUUAAUUGCGUUUCACUAAGGGCCUAUAAUUUUACGUGUGUCGCGGCACUUUGACCCCUCUUUUGAGCGCGCGUCUUAGUUUUGCUUAGCGCACACAAUUAGGUCCUGAAAGCAACGAACGUGACCGCAACCUCUUGUUGCCUUUAUACCAAACAUGUCUCGCAUUUUUUAAUGCGUUUCAUGCAAAAAGGCUUUUUAAACUAGAGGGACCGCUGUUACUUUCUUAAA